rnacentral:rRNA from 1 species
CAAAACUUUCAACAAUGGAUCUCUUGGUUCCGGCAUCGAUGAAGAACGCAGCGAAAUGCGAUAAGUAAUGUGAAUUGCAAAAUUCCGUGAAUCAUCGAAUCUUUGAACGCACAUUGCGCCCCCUGGCAUUCCGGGGGGCAUGCCUGUCCGAGCGUCAU